UACGAAGGGGGCUAGCGUUGUUCGGAUUUACUGGGCGUAAAGCGCACGUAGGCGGAUCUUUAAGUCAGAGGUGAAAUCCCAAGGCUCAACCUUGGAACUGCCUUUGAUACUGGGGAUCUUGAGUCCGGGAGAGGUGAGUGGAACUGCGAGUGUAGAGGUGAAAUUCGUAGAUAUUCGCAAGAACACCAGUGGCGAAGGCGGCUCACUGGCCCGGUACUGACGCUGAGGUGCGAAAGCGUGGGGAGCGAAACAGG
rnacentral:rRNA from 1 species